rnacentral:rRNA from 1 species
GAUGAACGCUAGCUACAGGCUUAACACAUGCAAGUCGAGGGGCAGCAUGGUCUUAGCUUGCUAAGGCCGAUGGCGACCGGCGCACGGGUGAGUAACACGUAUCCAACCUGCCGUCUACUCUUGGACAGCCUUCCGAAAGGAAGAUUAAUACAAGAUGGCAUCAUGAGUCCACAUGUUCACAUGAUUAAAGGUAUUCCGGUAGACGAUGGGGAUGCGUUCCAUUAGAUAGUUGGCGGGGUAACGGCCCACCAAGGCGACGAUGGGUAGGGGUUCUGAGAGGAAGGUCCCCCACAUUGGAACUGAGACACGGUCCAA